rnacentral:lncRNA from 1 species
CUCCAAUCAGCUGGUGGUCGGUGCUUGUAAAGCCCCUUUCAACCCAGCCGCCUCUCUACAAGCCCCACACCUGCCCCAUGCACAGCACCAGAUAUAGGGCAGGUGGGUGUAUCUUGGCCAAAGGGAACCUAAGUGAUGCGGCUACCGUCCUUAAAGAGAUGUGACUUUUCUCUUUUGAAAAGCUGGCACCAGAGGGCUUUAGAAACUUGUUCACAGCUGGAGAGCUAACAGGUUUUUUAAAAAUCCUAAUACUUCAAAAAGGCCAGCCUUUCUAUUUUGCUGGCCUUGACACGCUCUGUUUCUGCUUGCAGGGUGUGUUGCUUCUUAGAGUUCCUGAAGCUGUGAUUAACUGUGAUCCCUGCAUUGGAGGGGGUUGGACUUGAUGACUUCCUUAUGUCUUUUCUAACUCUAGGUAAAGCUAAAGGGACCCCUGGCCAUUAGGUCCAGUCGUGGACGACUCUGGGGUUGCGGCGCUCAUCUCGCUUUAUUGGCCGAGGGAGCUGGCGUACAGCUUCCGGGUCAUGUGGCCAGCAUGACUGAGCCGCUUCUGGCGAACCAGAGCAGCGCACGGAAACGCCGUUUACCUUCCCGCCGGAGUGGUACCUAUUUAUCUACUUGCACUGUGUGCUUUCGAACUGCUAGGUGUGCAGGAGCAGGGACCAAGCAAAGGGAGCUCACCCCGUCGCGGGGAUUCGAACCGCCAACCUUCUGAUCGGCAAAUCCUAGGCUCUGUGGUUUAACCCACAGCGCCACCCGCACCCCUUUUCUAACUCUAGAAUUGUUUUAUUCUUUAUUGUGGACAGUUCUUCAUAGCACCAGCCACAAACUGAGCUGCUGUCAUGCAGGGCAGGGGGUGGGACUGGGAGGCUCUCCUCCGUCCUCCUUAGCUGUUUACCAAGGAUCAUUUCUGCAUGGAAUAAUUUCAACCUCAUACUUUUCGUUUGUGCAAAUACAUCUCCCCAAAUACCACAAUGCACAUGCCUGCCUUGUCUUGUGGAAUGGGCACAUGGAUGUAUAAGUUGUAACAGCCUGGUGCCUUCCAGAUGUUUGAGACUAUAACUCCCACCAGUCCCAACCAGCAGAGCUGAACGAUGCUGAGGCUGAUGGGAGUUGUAGUCCAAAGCAUCUGGAGGGAACCAGCCUGAGGAAGACCCAGCCCACAACUGAACAGACCUGGCUGAAACAAAGCCGAGAGAGGCCAGGUUUUGAAGACACGCCUCAGGGAAAGAGUUCCAUAGCUGUGGAAGAAGAAGAGUUUUGGAUUUGAUAUCCCGCUUUAUCGCUACCCGAAGGAGUCUCAAAGCGGCUCACAAUUUCCUUUCCCUUCCUCCCCCACAACAAACACUCUGUGAGGUGAGUGGGGCUGAGAGACUUCAGAGAAGUGUGACUGGCCCAAGGACACCCAGCAGCUGCAUGUGGAGGAGCGGGGAAGCGAACCCGGUUCACCAGAUUACGAGACUACCACUCUUAACCACUACACCACACUGGAUUUGAGGAAUCAUGAGGGAGAAGGUAAUUAUUAGGGCAGCCUUCCUCCACCUGGCACCUUCCACAUGUUUUGGACUACAGGUCCCAUCAGCCUAGGCUGCCUGGGGCUGAUGGGAACUGUAGUUCAAAACAUCUGGAGGGCGCCAGGUGGAGAGAGGCUGGUGUGCUUCAUGGGCAGAACAAAUCCUGCCCCAGGCAGCAUCUUACCAAAUGAAUAAAACAGCACAACAAAACACCCCCAGUGGACAAAGGCUGGAAGCCCAGAUAAGGCAUUAAGGCACUUGGCAAAACGGGGGGAAAUGAGGCAAAGAAUAAACACUUCCUGCACCCGAGUGAGCCUCUCGUGCAAACAUCUUGCAGCACCUUAAAAGAGGAGCAAAGGGAGCUUUCUGGAAACGGGGAGCCCUAGUCAGCAGAAAUGGCUGCCUGAGACAUAGCCAGGGGUGGCUGGAAGGAGGAAGGAGGAAGGGGGAUGGGGCCUGGUCCUUUACCCACCAAGGAGCUGCCUGCCUGCCUGCAAAUCUCUCUCUUAGGAGAAAGUCCUCGGGAGCCCUCACAGGAUCAUGAGCUCCUGUGUCGUGAGCAAACCAAAUACAUGUGUCCUCAAAGACUCUCUGUUUUGCACUGCAUCUUUGAAAAGGAAGGAAUCGUUAAGCGCCCCCAUGUGCAAAAGGAAGGUUCCAUCAAAAUGAGGGGGGAUGGGGAAUAGAUGAGAAGAAGAAAACCUCCAGCCAGGAAGCGACCACCUGAUGUGAAAUAAGUCAUUGUAUGCCAGGCAAGCGAGGUGGAAAUGAAGGAAUCACAUAGUACAUAGGCUUUUUUUAAAAAGGCUUCUUCAGCAGAGGUCAGGCAUCCUCAGAAUCCCACCGGCAGCCUUCCUCUGCUGCAGCUGCUCCCCCUGAAACCAGGACCAUGGCAUCUCCACUCCCCUUCAGAGGCUCACAGACAGUGUCACAGCUCAGAAAAUGCAACCAGGGAAGCAUGCUGGCCAGGAAAUGAGGCAGGAUCCGGCCCUGGACCUUCUCAGCCCCUCAAAUCAAAGAAAGGGUAAAGAGAGAGAAAGGGGAGUCAAGGAAAUAACCCCACCACCACUCAAGUCAUACUCAGAGGAGACCCAUUGAAAUGAAUGCAUCUGAGUCAGUUGUGUUCAUUAAUUUCAAUGGAUCUACUCUGAAAGGGAUUAACACUGGACACAACCCCUUGGUUUCAACACUGCUUUAGGCUGAGCUGCUGCUCUUACUCAGGAGUAAGCCCUACUGUGGGACUUGCUUCUGAGUUUAUGAUUAUUAAUAUUGUUUUGUGGAUUAUGAGUCAUGUAAUGCUUUGUGAACUUUAUGACUUUUCUUGUGGUUGUGCUGUGGUUUUUAAUGUUUUAAUAGUGUUUAUUUAGGACUUAUAUAAUUUAUAUAUAAUAUAUAUAUAUUAUAUAUAUAUAAUUUUAUAUAAUUUAUGUUGUGAUUGUGAUGUUCUACUAUAUUAUUUAUUGUAUGUAAGCCGCAUUGGGACUCAUGUGAGUGAAAAGCAGCAUAGAAAUAGAAUGAAUGAAUGAAACACACACCUGGCCCUCAGAACUCUCCCCAAGCCAUGCUCUUCAUGCAGGAUACAUGGGUGAGAGUGUAGAAACCAGCCUAUAGCACAAAGGCAAAAUUUACAUUUGUUGCUCCACCUCCUUUUGCCUCUGUUAUGUACCGAGUUGAAUAGGAUCCAAAAGGCAGCAGUCUGAUUGGUCCUAGAACAAUGCAGCAGUAUGAUUGGUCCGCAGGAGCCACCCAAUCCAGCUCCAGGUGGAAGUGAAUCCGCAACCUGAUUGGCCUACAGGAGAAUCCCGGAAUUAGCCAAUCACGUGUGGCCCAUUGUGUAAAUAAUGUAUAUAAAGCAGAUAUUUUGGGGGAACUUCCAUUCCUCACUACUAUGAGCUGAAUAAAGAGCAUGAAAUCCACACUCGACUCCGAGUAUAUUUCACUCUGUCCCCAUCAGCCACUGGCGCGUGGCCCCCAGAAGGUUGCCCAGAUGAAAAUGCAGCCCCUGGAAUAAAAAAGGCUCCCAUUCUUGUGCUGUCGCAUUGUUUAAAACCAUUUUUAUGGGGGACUUCCGGGUUAGCGCCAUCGGCGAAUGGCGCAGUUCCUCCGAACUGGCUCCGUGGAAACGGUCUUCCCGCCGCGGCGAAGGUGGGGACCCGCUAGAAAUCCCAGGUGGAGGAAGCCUGGGAACGUGGGGUUCGGCAGGGCACCAGGAGUGCCUCCCCUACUCACGGGGAACCCCAUUUCGGGGUUCCGGAGUGAAGUGGGGUGAGCGGCGCGGUGCUGCGAACUGAUUGCUACUUUCACGGAGUGAAGCCGCACAGCCAUUGCCGGAGAGCGCUGACUUUUUCCUGUGGACAACUGGAUUUGAAACAAGUACCCAUGAGUAGAAACGGAAAAUUGGAUUAAGAAAUACCCUAAUUUGGCACCGAAGCGGGAAGGUUCAAACAGGAAGUCCGCCUUCCGCUUUUUGUACAUAGACUGAAGCAAAAACCUUGUAAGCUAAAGUCUGGAAAGUCGUUAAAAAAGUCUAAAUUUCCUUCAUUUAUAACCACUAAAACCCCCUUGGAAGCAGGAGAAAAGGGGGGGGGGAUCUUUGUUUAAGCCUGCAGGAGAGGGAGUGAAGAAAGAUAAGUUUCCACCGUCUCAAACCUGGGAACGGGGGGUCAGAGACAGAAAUUGUUGGAAAGGUUCACUGACUGUGAAUGGAAUACUUUGACAGAUAGCUAAAGAAGAGAAAUAAACUGAUUCCAAUGUUGCCUUCUGCAUUCUAAAGAAACAAAAUAUCUGAAAUAUGAAAGUAAUUUUCCUUUGUUGGACUUGCCUUAAAAAGAUGGAUACAAAUAGAAAUUGUCUCCUCUAGAGGGAGCUUGUUAAAUUGUUGCUGCAGUCUACUUGAGACUCAACAGCUGUGAGAUUAAGAUCGUGGGACCAGUCCUUUUGACCUCGAAUAAAAAUGAGCUGGGAGGAAGUUUUGGUGCUUGCUUUAUGCAAGGUAAGUGCCUUGUUGGAACAGAUGCAUGAGAAGAUGGAUCUGAUGAAUGAGAAAACGGAUUUGAUGACUGUUGUGGUCAAUAACUGUGGACAAACAGGGAAUAUUGAUACAGAAACCAUUCAGGGACCAACUCAGGAACCUGUAUUGAUGGGGCAAGUGCAGAAGAUAAUGGAGGAGGUUGCGGUUGCACCUCAAAUAAUACAAAUGGAGAGACCCGAGGCCCUACAGGAGCAUAAGCCGCUGUUUUUGAAGAUUGAAGUUGGAGUGGGCCAGGGGGAGUCUGGAGCUGAGGAGGUUCUUAACUUCGGAGGGACUUUGAAAUAUGCUCUUAAAUAUUUUUUGGAUUACAUUGAUGACUGUGGGGAGUGCGACUGUGGGGAAUGGGCUGGUUUGAUGAAGGGAGAUGGAGAUAAUCUUGGGCUGGAACCUCCCAGAGACCUACUCCUCAAUGAGAAAGGAAAGAAAUUAAGAAAGAGACCAACAAAAGACAAGGAAAAGUGCAGGUAUAAACAACAAGAAGAAGAUCUGCAGAAGGGACAUGGAAGAGACUUAAGAGCCUCGGACAUAAGAUUACCAGGUUGAUGGACUAGAUGGAAUGGACAGUAAGGACUGACAUGACCCGAGACCAGGAAGAAGAGACGCUGGAUGAAGAUUGGAAGAAAAAUUAUAAAGAAAAUUUUUUAUUUAGGGAAUUAGCCUAAAAUUAAUGAAUAUUAGAGAAAAAUGUUGGAAUGAAACUAUAUGGCUUUAGGACGCGGGUGGUGCUGUGGGUAAAAGCCUCAGCGCCUAGGGCUUGCCGAUCGAAAGGUCGGCGGUUCGAAUCCCCGCGGCGGGGUGCGCUCCCGCUGCUCGGUCCCAGCGCCUGCCAACCUAGCAGUUCGAAAGCACCCCCGGGUGCAAGUAGAUAAAUAGGGACCGCUUACCAGCGGGAAGGUAAACGGCGUUCCGUGUGCUGUGCUGGCUCGCCAGAUGUAGCUUGUCACGCUGGCCACGUGACCCGGAAGUGUCUGCAGACAGCGCUGGCUCCCGGCCUAUAGAGUGAGAUGAGCGCACAACCCUAGAGUCUGUCAAGACUGGCCCGUACGGGCAGGGGUACCUUUACCUUUACCUUUAGAAAUGAUAUAAGGAGUUAUGUAUAAUUGAGUAUUAAGUUUCAAGCUCUAAGGUAUUUUACGGUAAGAUAAGGUUAAAUAAAUUAAGGUAAUUUGAAUAACAGAAUAUGGGGAAAGAUGGAAAGGAUUUGUUGAGUUAAUUAAUAGGUUAAAUUGUUAAGAUAAAUUAUUCAAUAAAAAUUGAGAAAGAUGGAAAGAAUUUGCUGAAAAUAACUAAUUAAACUAGAAUACAAAAAGGGAGGUGUGAGGAGGUCAAUGAAACAGGCAAAUGGAAGUUAAAGAUAUGUAACAUGGAUUUGUGUCGGGUUUUUCCCCGUUUUUUUAUCUUUUUGCUGUAUUGUUGUAUUGGUUUUUAUGCUUUGUUUUUUUUCUUCUUUUUUAUGUAUUGUAGUGUUGUUUCCUAUUUUUUCUUUUUUUCUGUAAUUCUGAAACUUUUAAUAAAUAUUAUUUUAAAAAAUAAAAUAAAACCAUUUUUAUGCUGUGCUAUCCUUGUGGGCUGCUCUAGGCUCCCUUUGAGGAAGGAGGAGUGCCAGCUACCACCAUGAAACCAGACAGAGCUCUCUCCUGUGGCUCCUCCCCUCAGAGCGACGCUUGAGGUGGUGGCCUUGCUUCCGCCGGCGCUAUUUGUCCCCAUGUGCUUUUAGGGUCCUUUGAUAUCAUUUUAAUCAUUCUGAUUGCUGCUUUAAUGUUUGAUUGCUGCUUUGAUGUUUUAAUUAUGGAAGCAGUCUAUAAAAACCCUUUAAAUGCAGAAUAAAAAUGACUGUAUUCAUUUAUUUAAUGGAAAAUAGCUGUUGGUAGACUUUUCUGCAUGGAUCUGGCACUUAAAUGGGGGCAGGAGUCAGACUGUCGGCAGUGAAUCUGUUCCUUUGCAGGAUUUUUGUCUUCUUCCCUAUUUUAAAUAUUGAUUAUAUUUUUAUGGGUUUCUUUUUACUUGCAAACCCAUCCUGCGAUAAUGGAAGUGGUGAAGUACAACCAACCAAUCAAGGAAGCCAUUUAGGUCAUUGGCAAGUGUGAUGUCCUGAGGCAGCAAGUUCCACAAGUUAACUCUGAAAUGCCAGAAAGUUCUUCUCUUUGUCUGUUCUCAACCUUCUUAGCCCAUAAACUUCUCGGUGACCCAGAGUCCUUCUAUUCGGAGGGUGUGGGUGGAUGCAAACCUUUCUACGAUGUUCUUAGAGACAAUAUAUAGCUAUUAUUACUAAUAGCCACUGAUAGCCUUAUUCUCCAUGAAUUUGUUUAAGCGCCUUUCAAAGCUGCCCAUGGUGGCAGCUAUUAAUACAUGCAGGGGCUAUACAGUGGUACCUCGGGUUACAUACGCUUCAGGUUACAUACACUUCAGGUUACAGACUCUGCUAACCCAGAAAUAGUGCUUCAGGUUAAGAACUUUGCUUCAGGAUGAGAACAGAAAUCAUGCAGUGGCGGCAGCAGGAAGCCCCAUUAGCUAAAGUGGUGCUUCAGGUUAAGAACAGUUUUAGGUUAAGAACGGACCUCCGGAACAAAUUAAGUACUUAACCCGAGGUACCACUGUAUAGGAUUUCAGACAGGGAGUUUCCCCCAGCUCUACCUUGAGAUGCCAUCAGAAACUGAACCUGUGACCUUCUGGAUGCAAAGCAGAUGUUCUACGCUUCCCCUCACGCCAGAUCAUUUAAUGAACAUGUUCCAACUCAUGGCUCCCUACUGCUGGGCUGAACUUCUGAAAAUCCUCAAGUCUAGCCUGGAAGGGAGUUUGCAUAGGCAUGGGUAGGCAAACUAAGGCCCAGGGGCCGGAUCCGGCCCAAUCACCUCCUAAAUCCGGCCCGCGGAUGGUCUUGGAAUCAGCGUGUUUCUACAUGAGUAGAAUGUGUCCUUUUAUUUAAAAUGCAUCUCUGGGUUAUUUGUGGGGCACAGGAAUUCAUUCAUCCCCCCCCCCCCAAAAAAAUAUAGUCUGGCCCCCCACAAGGUCUGAGGGGCAGUGGACCGGCCCCCUGCUGAAAAGGUUUGCUGACCCCUGGUAGAGGGAAGAAAGUCCUUCUAGGUGUUUAAUAAGAGGAAGUUGCAUGACUUAAAGCAGGUGCUUUUUUGUAUAGCAAAAUGUUCUAAAAAGGUGCACAGCAGCUCUCUGCUUGCCAUCUCAAGGAGGUUCUUACUUUGCCUGCAGGGUUUAACAUUUCAAAACAAGAAUUCAUUUAAAUGUUUUUUUUCUUUUUUGUUGUUGUUCCCAUUAGGGACUCGACACACACAAAAAUCUUGCUGAAGUAAUGUUGAAUUUUCGCAUUAAUUUCUCCUCCCUCCUUGAUCCCCUCCUUAACUUAUCAAAGCCAUGAAACAGGACUUAGUUUCCCACCCAAAGCUGUGAGAUGGAGAAGAGUUGGAGAUGGCUGAAGAUGGAGGCACAGCACCCCUGAAACAAGGUCAGGGUGCCCUUUUUGCCAGAGACACAAUCGAUGCAGGCAAAGGAAAAACAGUGUGGGAUGGAGUGGUAAGUGUUGAAUUAUUAGGACCUGGGAGACCCUGACCAUUAGGUCCAGUCGUGGCUGACUCUGGGGUUGCGACGCUCAUCUCGCUUUAUUGGCUGAGGGAGCUGGCAUACAGCUUCCGGGUCAUGUGGCCAGCAUGACUAAGCCGCUUCUGGCGAACCAGAGCAGUGCAUGGAAACGCUGUUUACCUUCCCGCUGGAGUGGUACCUGUUUAUCUACUUGCACUUUGACAUGCUUUUGAACUGCUAAGUUGGCAGGAGCAGGGACUGAACAACGGGAGCUCACCCCGUCGCAGGGGUUCGAACCACCAACCUUCUGAUCGGCAAGUCCUAGGCUCUGUGGUUUAACCCACAGCACCACCCACGUCCCUAGGACCUGGGAGAACCAGGGUUCAAAUCCCCACUUGGCCACGAGGCUCACCGGGUGACCUUCUGCCACUCACCACCUCUCAGCUUAACCUACCUCACAGGGUUGUUGUGGGUAUUAAAUUAAAUGGGGCAGAACCACGUGUACCACUUGGAGCUCCUUGGAGAAGAGGGGGGAUAUUAACACAAAAUAUAAAAUAAAAAAUGAACGGCACAGCUAGGUGGCAGUGAGAGAAUAUUGCAGAGGCAGGAUUUUAAUCUAGAGUAAGGAACGCAAUCGGAGAUGGAGGCAGCAUUUCCAGGGGAGGAAACCCACUCAUUUCUCCAAGUCACCACUUCCCUGCUGCUGCUGCUGCUGCUGACUUCCUCUCUUCCAGAACCUGUAUGCAUUGGAUUAUUCAAGGUGGAGUUGUGGGCAGACAGUCUCCAGGGCCUGGCUAAUUCAAUUGCACACAUCCAUUCAUGCAAGGUUUGCGCAAUCACCCCGGGGCCCAAAGGAACCAAAGCUUGUGGCUUGGUGGCACAUGGUGUCGCUCCUGACAACGAGCCCCACACAGCCUCCCUGCACCUGAAAUCACACAACCCGACAGCUAUAUUCGUGACACACGCCUCCUGUUUCCAGUUUCCCAUUUAUCAGCUGAGCACCUGUAACGAGACACCAUCCAACUGCCAUGAAAUAAAUUAGUCUUCUCAGGCACAGAUAUGCAGAAAUGCUCCCCCAGCCACGAGCAUUUUACGACAGGCCUUUCAAGGUGCGCUCCCUGAAAUUUCCUGUCGCAUGAAGGGACCUAGUCUGUCUGCCUGUCUCUCCCGCUCCCCAUUCUGGCCUUAAAACUCCUCAUUCCCAGGUUUCAUCUUGUUGUACUCUCCCAUUGCACUGCUAAAGGGUCUCUAACUGCUCCAUGUGAAAGCCACUGUCCCCUUUGAUGUGACCUAGAGAACAGCUGCUGCUCCAGGGAUGCAGAGAGAUUAACGUUGUGCCUGAUUUGCUCUGCCUUUGAGGUGGAGUAAGAGGCAUCCAGGUCUGAACUCCAACACAGUAACAUAAGAGGAGCCUGCUGGAUCAAGCCAGUGGCCCAUCUAGGACAGCAUCUUGUGCUCACAGUGGCCAACCAGAUGCCCUUAUGGGAAAUCUGCAAGCAGGAUUUCAGCACAAGAGCAACCCUCCCCUCCUGCAGUUUUCAGAAACUGGUUUUCAGAAGCAUCACUACCUCCAAUUGCAGAGGCAGCGAAUAGCUAUCAUGGAUGGCAGCCAUCAAUAGCCCUCUCCUCCAUGAAUUUAUUUAAUCCUCUCUUUUAAAGCCAUCCAGCUUGGUGGCCAUCACUGCCUCCUGUGGAAGGGAGUUCCAUAGUUUAACAAUGCACUGCAUGGAGAUGGGCUUUCUUUUAUCCACAUCUCAGGUUCCUCUUUGCCAGCCGACUCCCAGCCAGCCCUCUUUCCAAGCCCUGCCAUGACCGUGCUGAUGAUCCCUUUGAAAAGAAUGCUUUUUUUUGCGGAUAAUCGGAACACACUUUCGCCUAAUUAGAAAGGUAUGUGGUGCUCUCUGCUGGUCAAGGUGGGGAGGAGCAACCAAAGGAAUUACUAAAAUUAAAAUGGAAAAUGCAUUUGCUUCUGGAAGGAAGGGCUCAGCCCCAUCGGUCUACCCCUUUCAGCAUGAUGCACUUCCUUGGAAUAAUCUGAAAUGUAAGGUGUGAAGAAUGGAGGUAGGGGUGCUCAGGACAGCCUCCCAUACUCCCUCCCUUACCCAACUGCAACACAACAGCCCUGCAGUGCUGCUAGUUGAGUCUUACUCUCCAGUACCUGCUGCCACCGCCCCCUUUUUGUCACCCACAACCCCAGAACCAAAGGGGGAAAACUGGGGCUGCAUCAAAGCGCUUAAUUUGAAAAGGCUCUGAGAUCGUGCACCCGGCACACAAAUUACUGGGGAAUGUAGGGCCAGCUCCCAGCUGCCUUAUCCUGGUCCAAUUUCAAAGCAUCUUGUUUGAUUCCCUGGCAGACCCCCGCUAAACUACCUAAAACCCAAGAACUCUGAGGCCAAAGCACUCUGCAUUUCCCAGACAGUUCCCUUAUAAGCCACUCAGGGCGGAAAGGCUCCCUACACUCUCCAAGAUGUGGGAAGAAUGUGCUGGUCCCUUGCAACUCUGACCCUUCAUUUUCAGGAGCAUGGAGCCCAAGCAUCUAGGCAUGCAGAUUCUGAGGCUGGAAGGUGCACACAUUUCAGUGGUGAUACCGUGGGAAUUAACUUGAACUAAAUAGUAGGGUAGUAGAGCUGAAAAUAAUGCCAAUAUAUUUAACAUCUGGCAGACAAGUCUAAAAAGCCUGGGACACAAAUUUUCACAACCCUCUAGCAGCUAUGGUAGCUCAUAGACCAGAAGUAAUGUAUUUAGCGUUAACUCUGAAAGUGUAUACUUGAUUCUGACCAAACUAAGCCUCCUAGAGCAAAAUAUACAUCAGAGAGAGUGCAAAUCAAACUUGGAAGUCAGGGAGUUUUUCAGCUGAAAACUUUUAAUUCCCAGGAGACGUGUGUGUGUGUCUAGUGCUAUUUUUGUCUUACUUAGUCUGAAAAUCUCCGCCAGCUGCUAGACAAUAGACACACACAUGUGGCCAACUCUUGACCUUCAUGAGGAGAACUGUCAGAUCAGAAUGAACUUCUGAGAAAAUCUGAUCGAGGGGGUGGUUAUUUGGACUGACAGUCACAAGAACCAGAAGCAGCUUGGUAUUUCCAUGGGACUCGUGCAAAACACAAAUCCUGUUUCUGGGGGAAAUUAGCAAAACAAGGGCAAAAAUUUCAUCAUCACAAAGAGAUCAAUCUUGUCUUCCAUGUACUUUACAGAAGACACUACCCUUUACAAUCAAGGAGGAAAGGGGGAUGCUAUAAAUAACUGAAUUCUGUUUAUUACAGGGAAAAAAUGCUAUCCACUCAUUCAUCACACCCGAGUGAUGUGCUAUCUUAGCACCUAUGCUAAUCCCCACAAUGGUGAAACAAUCUCCCUGGUCUAUAAACCCCCAUUUUCCAUUCAUUUCAAUAAAGGCCUCACUAAGGAA